rnacentral:misc_RNA from 1 species
GAUGAAGAACGUAGCGAAAUGCGAUACGUAAUGUGAAUUGCAGAAUUCAGUGAAUCAUCGAAUCUUUGAACGCAUAUUGCGCUCUCUGGUAUUCCGGAGAGCAUGCUUGUUUGAGUAUCAGUAAACACCUCAACUUCCAUAUCUUUUUUGAAAUGGGAGUUGGACUUGAGUGAUCCCAACGCUUUUCCUCACCGAAAAGUGGCGGGUUACUUGAAAUGCAGGUGCAGCUGGACUUUUCUCUGAGCUAUAAGCAUAUCUAUUUAGUCUGCCUAAAAAACAGAUUAUUACCUUUGCUGCAGCUAACAUAAAGGAGAUUAGUUCUUGUGCUGACUGAUGCAGGAUUCACAAAGACGGCUUCGGCCGACUUUGUAAACUCGAUCUCAAAUCAAGUAAGACUACCCGCUGAACUUAAGCAAAUCAUAAGCGGAGGA